GCCACUUGAAGUAUGACCCACUUCGUAUGUUCCUCUUUAUCUUCUUGUACAAUCCUUUGUGCAAGGUAGAUGAUAAGAUGCCAUUCACUAAAGAGGAGAUCAAACUAAAAAGAUAUAUGGAGUGAAUGACAUGUCACGGUCAUAAUAGAUGUAGAUUUAUUUUACGUUUUUAAUAUCUCAACAAUCAUUCAUGUGAGUGACAUCUGAGUUUAUGUUUAGGGUUGUACUCUUUGAUUUAAAUAAUAUUUCCUCAAGUUUAUCAUGUGAUGUUAUUUGUGUGUACUGAGUAUCAUCUGCGUGCAACUGCAGAGAUUAAUCUUUCGAGUCGAAUAGGAUCUUCGUAAAUGACAAAGCUCUCCAUCAAGAAAUUUAACAGUGAUGUAUUCUCGUGACUCUAUUCGAACCCCAGAACCUCCGGUUUAGUUGAAAGAGAUCUCUUAUCAUCUUAUCUAAGUGUUAUUGCGUAUUGUAUUUCUCAUUUGAUUAUUAAUAAAAUGCAUUACUUUGAUUGCUAUAAAUAAAAAGAAGCAAAGUCAGUACUCUCUAUAAUCUAUAAUGUGAGAUCGAUUUAAAAAAUGUACAAAAAUGAACAACCAUUUCAAUUUUAAUGUAGUGUGAAUCAUUUUUUUUCCACCAAUUAUGACUUGGUCAUAGUGGUAAGGGAUUUCAACCUCUUAAACUAGUUUGAUUCUUGGAUGAAUAUUCGAUCUGGAUAACAGAAUGGACUUAUUAUGCCCUACAUGUUACUUCUUGAAAAUGUGUAUGUCAGCCCCAAAAUUUAUAUGGAUCAAGUUGGUGUAAUAAUAAGUACAUCAGUGAACUUUUCCUCAAAAAAGAAAGUACGUGGACUAUUGGCGGACUCAAUAAUGUUGGCUUGUUUAGAGUGAUAUUCUCUUCCUUUUUGACUCUUUUGUAUUGAAUAUUCUUAAGUUAACACCAGAACUUUCGGCAAUGGUGGAGUGGAUAAUUGGAUUGGUAUGGUGUUAAAAAAAAUGUUUUAUUGAUUUUUUUUUUUAAUGGAAGAAUGUUUUAUUGAUAUUAUUUGCUAUAUUUGUCUCAUUGUAAGUGUUCCUUUGAAUAGUGUACGACGUUGGGCAUCGAAUUUUUGCUUAAAGAGAUGCAACAUAGAGUAACAAGCUUAUAGUUAAUUUAUGUUCAGAGUUGAUAAUUAGUAUAUUUUUCAAAUUUACCAUUUAUAAAUUUUAUUCUUUACUUAUUGGGUUUGAUAAAUGAUGUAAAAUAAUUUGUAC
rnacentral:lncRNA from 1 species